UACAGAGGUCUCAAGCGUUGUUCGGAUUCAUUGGGCGUAAAGGGUGCGUAGGCGGCGGCGUAAGUCGGGUGUGAAAUCCCAGGGCUCAACCCUGGAACUGCAUUCGAUACUGCGUCGCUGGAGGACUGGAGAGGAGACUGGAAUUCACGGUGUAGCAGUGAAAUGCGUAGAUAUCGUGAGGAAGGCCAGUGGCGAAGGCGAGUCUCUGGACAGUUCCUGACGCUG
rnacentral:rRNA from 1 species